CAAAAGGUUAAUGAGAAUCAAAGGCACAUAACUCUGGAUUUCACGUUGAAAGGUAAUAGAACUUGACAACCAGAUCCAGACGAGACAAAUACAACCUGGCAAACCGGUAUAAGGUUACUGGCAGGUAUAAAUAAACACGAGGAAAAAUCUAAUAAAAAGAGAGCGAGCUGAUCAAGGGGUUGAAAAGAUAGAUAUUGCCUGAUGUUUAUUGUCCAAGGAACAGGCCGUGGAAGCUUUAUUGCUAGCAAAAGUGUCCAUAACCAGAGGUUAUAUCAGCUGUUUUGGUGAACCUCUCCCACAUCUGAACUGACUGACACAGAGGGCACAGCAUGAUCAUAGGUGAGAUGUUACUUGGUCGGGUUAACAGGAAGUAUUAUUAAAAAUAUGCUUUACAUUGAAAUACAGACAGAGAUGUAGCAGUCCCAGAGUUAAUGAUCCAAGGUCAGUUUUGCAUUUCACCUCCUGGUUAAGAUGACUGACCAUGUUAGAAUUAAAAAAAAUAAGGCUUAAUCAUGUUCUCUCUCUAUCCAUCUGUCACUCGUCUGCAGAUAUAUUUUGAUGUGAGAGAAGAAGCCCUUUCUGUCUUCUACACCUCUCGCCCCACCUCAUCUUUCUGUGUUCUACACCUCUCGCCCCACCUCGUCUUUCUGUCUUCUACACCUCUCGCCCCACCUCGUCUUUCUGUCUUCUACACCUCUCGCCCCACCUCGUCUUUCUGUCUUCUACACCUCUCGCCCCACCUCAUCUUUCUGUCUUCUACACCUCUCGCCCCACCUCAUCUUUCUGUCUUCUACACCUCUCGCCCCACCUCAUCUUUCUGUCUUCUACACCUCUCGCCCCACCUCGUCUUUCUGUCUUCUACACCUCUCGCCCCACCUCGUCUUUCUGUCUUCUACACCUCUCGCCCCACCUCGUCUUUCUGUCUUCUACACCUCUCGCCCCACCUCGUCUUUCUGUCUUCUACACCUCUCGCCCCACCUCGUCUUUCUGUCUUCUACACCUCUCGCCCCACCUCGUCUUUCUGUCUUCUACACCUCUCGCCCCACCUCGUCUUUCUGUCUUCUACACCUCUCGCCCCACCUCGUCUUUCUGUCUUCUACACCUCUCGCCCCACCUCGUCUUUCUGUCUUCUACACCUCUCCCCACCUCAUCUUUCUGUCUUCUACACCUCUCGCCCCACCUCGUCUUUCUGUCUUCUACACCUCUCGCCCCACCUCGUCUUUCUGUCUUCUACACCUCUCGCCCCACCUCGUCUUUCUGUCUUCUACACCUCUCGCCCCACCUCAUCUUUCUGUCUUCUACACCUCUCGCCCCACCUCAUCUUUCUUCCUUGUUUUAUAAUGCACACCACAUGUGCAUUGAAGUACAGAUUGAACUUGUAUUUAUAAUAUAGUAUUACAAUUAUCAUAAUUAUUAUGCAUUUAUGUAACUUUUUUCAAUAAAGCAUUUCACAUUCACCACUGGUUGAAAUGAAAUAUCUCAUUGAAAUACUAUCCUGUGUCCUCAGAUUAAUGCAGAUGAAAGGAGUUAGAUAUGCAUCGUUUUUUUCUGUAUAUACAGUUGAAGUUGGAAGAUUACAUACACCUUAGCCAAAUACAUUUAAACUCAGUUUUUCACAAUUCCUGACAUUUAAUCUGAGUAAAAAUUCAGUUCUGCCCACAAAUGUUCUCUAGGAUUGACUUCAGGGCUUUGUGAUGGCCACUCCAAUACCUUGACUUUGUUGUCCUUAACCUGUUUUGGAGGUUUUUGUUCGGAAUUUUGGAUGACUGACGUGCCCAAAGUAAACUGUAUGUUAUUCAGGCCCAGAAGCUAGGGUAUGCAUAUACUUGGUAGCAUUGGAUAGAAAAAACUCUGAAGUUUCUGAAACUGUUAAAAUACUGCCUGUGAGUAUAACAGAACUGAUAUGGCAGGCAUAAACCUGAGGAAAAUCCAUCCGGAAUAAAAAAAAAUUAGGUCACAGUCCAUUUCAGUGCUGGCCUAUUGGAAAAACAAAUAGAUAGGACCCAGAUUGCAGUUCCUAUGGCUUCCACUAGAUGUCAACCGUCUUUAGAAAGGGUUUCAGGCUUGUUUUUUUUUUAAAUUAGCAAGUAGUUGGAAGAACUACAAGGUUUCUCUCAUUAGAAAAGUUGUCUUGUUGGCACGUGAAUGAGGUGCGCGCUCUUCGUUAUUUAUCUUCCUUAUUGAACAUACUAUUCUCCGUCCUAAAUGUUAUCCUUUAUAUAGAUAUUAGAGUACCUGAGCAUUAAUUAGAAGCAUUGUUUGACUUGUUUGGAUGAGUUUGUAUGCAUGUUGAAUGAGUGGAUUACUGAGAACAUUGGCACCAAAUAAACAGACUUUUUUCCAUAUGAAGAAGGACUUUAUCGAACAAAAUGAACAUUCAUUAUGUAGCUGGGACCCUUGGGAUUGCAAACAGAAGAAGAUCUUCAAAGGUAAGUGAUUUAUUUAAUCGCUAUUUGUGAUUUUGUGAUGCCUGUGCUGGUUGAAAAAGUAUUUUGGUGUGGGACGCUGUCCUCAGAUAAUCACAUGGUAUGCUUUCGCCGUAAAAUCUGACAACGCGGUUGUAUUAACAAGAAGUUCAGCUUUUAAAUUAUGUAUGACACUUUUAUUUUCAUGAAUGUUUAAUAUUAUGAUUUUUGUAUUUUGAAUUUUGCGCUCUGCAAUUUCACCGGAUGUUGUCGUAGGUGCCCCGCUAGCGGUUCAUGCGCCAAAAGAGGUUUAUGCCAUUUUGCCACAACUUUGGAAGUAUGCUUGGGGUCAUUGUCCAUUUGGAAGACCCACUUGCGACCAAGCUUUAACUUCCUGACUGAUGUCUUGAGAUGUUGCUUUUUUUUCCCUACCUCAUGAUGCCAUGUAUUUUGUGAAGUGCACCAGCCCCUCCUGCAGCAAAGCACCCCCACAACAUGAUGCUGCCACCCGUGUGCUUCACGUUGGGAUGGUGUUCUUUGGCUUGCAAGCCUCCUCCUUUUCCUCCAAACAUAAUGAUGGUCAUUAUGGCCAAACAGUUCUAUUUUUGU